GCGGUAAGGCCCCUUCGGGGGUACACGAGCGGCGAACGGGUGAGUAACACGUGAGCAAUCUGCCCCUGUCUCUGGGAUAACCACUGGAAACGGUGGCUAAUACCGGAUAUGACCUCCCUUCGCAUGUUGGGUGGUGGAAAAGUCCGCUGGACAGGGAUGAGCUCGCGGCCUAUCAGCUUGUUGGUGGGGUAAUGGCCUACCAAGGCGACGACGGGUAGCCGGCCUGAGAGGGUGACCGGCCACACUGGGACUGAGACACGGCCCAGACUCCUACGGGAGGCAGCAGUGGGGAAUAUUGGACAAUGGGCGAAAGCCUGAUCCAGCAACGCCGCGUGAGGGAUGACGGCCUUCGGGUUGUAAACCUCUUUCAGCAGGGACGAAGCGAAAGUGACGGUACCUGCAGAAGAAGGACCGGCCAACUACGUGCCAGCAGCCGCGGUAAUACGUAGGGUCCGAGCGUUGUCCGGAAUUAUUGGGCGUAAAGGGCUCGUAGGCGGUUUGUCACGUCGGGAGUGAAAACUCAGGGCUUAACCCUGAGCGUGCUUCCGAUACGGGCUGACUAGAGGGAUGCAGGGGAGAACGGAAUUCCUGGUGUAGCGGUGGAAUGCGCAGAUAUCAGGAGGAACACCGGUGGCGAAGGCGGUUCUCUGGGCAUUUCCUGACGCUGAGGAGCGAAAGCAUGGGGAGCGAACAGGAUUAGAUACCCUGGUAGUCCAUGCCGUAAACGUUGGGCGCUAGGUGUGGGGA
rnacentral:rRNA from 1 species